rnacentral:rRNA from 1 species
GAUGAACGCUGGCGGCGUGCUUAACACAUGCAAGUCGAACGGACUUUACAUGAAACCUAGUGAUUGUAAAGUUAGUGGCGGACGGGUGAGUAACGCGUGGGUAACCUGCCUUGUACAGGGGGACAACAGUUGGAAACGACUGCUAAUACCGCAUAAGCGCACAGAGCUGCAUGGCUCAGUGUGAAAAACUCCGGUGGUAUGAGAUGGACCCGCGUCUGAUUAGCUAGUUGGUGGGGUAACGGCCUACCAGGGCGACGAUCAGUAGCCGGCCUGAGAGGGUGACCGGCCACAUUGGGACUGAGACACGGCCCAAACUCCUACGGGAGGCAGCAGUGGGGAAUAUUGCACAAUGGGCGAAAGCCUGAUGCAGCGACGCCGCGUGAGCGAAGAAGUAUUUCGGUAUGUAAAGCUCUAUCAGCAGGGAAGAAGAAUGACGGUACCUGACUAAGAAGCCCCGGCUAACUCCGUG